rnacentral:lncRNA from 1 species
GGCCACAGAUGUUGGCCUUCGACUUUCCUUCUCCUACUUUCUGGGACUUCCGAUCACCAUUCUCCUGUGGUCCCUUGCUUGUUUGAUUCAGUGACUUCUUAUUUCUUAGUUCAUUUCCUAUUUCUGCUGUAAUUAAAACUGCACUAAGCCAGAAAGAGAUGAAUGAAAAAAAUAUCCCUCAAAGCUGCUUUUCCUGUCUUGCUAGCAGAAAGUCUUCAAAACAGAAGAGUCUUAAAAGUUUUCCAGCCUGGAGCCAAGGACAGAAGUGAACCAGAACCUGGAUUUGACCUCCCUCAAGCCUUCCUUCCCAGCAGGCCCACAGAAGGAAAACAACGUUGCUUGCAAGCACCUCCUAAUCUUCCUAGAGAUAAAAAUGCUGCACCCCUCACCCUGCAAGGAAAAGGUGCGAGGCUCUCCGUCUUCAGGGCUGGACACCUGAAUCUGAAACAUUUUCAGGAAACACGCUGAGUGAGACUGGAGAAGUGAGUCAGAAAGGCCUGGAAGCAAACAUGAAAACACUCAUGAAUGGUGAACCGAGGUCCUGGUGAACUGAAAGGCUUACCAGGAGAAGGCUGAAGACUUUUCUGCUUGUGUCCCCUAAAACAUGCAUGAUUAGCCAUUUGGAAACUUCAUGGGCAUCACUGUACCCAUAUAGACAACAAAAAGUACGCAUAUAUAUGACAGGCAUGCUACAGAACGAGAGCUUAGGCCUCCCCCAGUGAGAGUUCUGUUCCCCAUCACCACCCCUGGCACCCCAGUGCCUCCUCUUGGGUGGCCUCCGGGAGCGCCUGCCUCCUGUGGGCAACUCCUGUUUGGAAUUAGAGCUGGUCCCAGCCUUGCCUGGCCUUUGCCACUGUAUCAGCCCUAUAACCGUGGGGAAUGCAUGUGACUAUCUACACCUUAGCUAGCUCCUCUGUGAAAUGCAGGAAUGGUAGUCCCUCCUCUGCAGGGCUGCUGUGAGAUCGAGGCCAGGCCAGGGCACCAUUUAGC